rfam:Oryza sativa (indica cultivar-group) chromosome 4, whole genome shotgun sequence.
AAAAAAGCAAACCCUGGGUUUCCGUGCCAACGUUUGACUGUCCGUCUUAUAUGAAUUUUUUUUAUAAUUAGUAUUUUCAUUGUUGUUAGAUGAUAAAACAUGAUUAAUAUUUUAUACGUGACUUAUCUUUUUAAUUUUUUUAAAUAAGACGGAUGGUCAAACGUUAGAUACGGAAACCAGGGUUUCUUUUUUU